GCAUAUUCUUAUAAGUGUUCUCAUGUAUAAGUAUAAAAGUUGUGUAUGUGAUGUCUAUAUGUAUGCUCAAUAUUAUUAACCUUGUGGCAUUUGAGUUGUCUUUUAUGGGUGUUUGAUGUGCUCAAGAUAUAAGAAAGUAUGAAAAAUAUGGACAAGGCAUGGAAUUAAGUGAUGAAAGUGAGAUAUAGAAGGCAAAAUAGGUUAAGUAGUGAAAAAUAGUACAAUGUCGAUUACUAGUAUUUCGGUGUAAAAUUGAGUAUUUAUGGAUUUACCAAAUGUAAUCGAGGUAUGAUUAAGGUCUCAUUGAUGAUGUAAAAAUGGUUUUAGAACUAUUAGAUCAAUUCUUGAUGGGAGGUAUACAUAAUCAGUGGUAUUGAUGCAAAGUCAAAACGAGCUUAGCAUAAGUGCGCUACGCUCGAUCGGGUAAGCAUAACUAUUGGGUAUGAAGUCAUAUGGACCUAAGGUUUGGUGUGAGUGUUUUACACAUAAGGAUAAUAGGCCUAGCAGAUGAUUAAGUCGAAAUUAUUGAAGUGAUAAGGUUUUCAUAAGUCAAAAGGUGAAAUGAUGAGAUGAAAGGUGUCAACUUUUGACAAUAAGGCUAAAUCAUUGAAAAUAAGGAAUUUUCAUCAACCUUAUCACUUUGCACGACCAUUAUUCUGAAAAAUAGAGAGAAAAGAAAACCAAAAACCAUUUCUUGGCUGGUUUGAAGAAAUUCUAAGGAGAUCCAAGUGAAAGCAAAGCCAAAGAAGUAGAUUAAGCUUAGUUCUAGCCUUUUUAUGAUAUUUCUUGGGGUUUCCAAGUGGUUUGAGGUUUAGAAAAGCUUGAAGAGAUUGUUUUCGCCGAAAAGUUGCUCGGAUAAGCAUAUCAACACCUAAGACAUCACUUGUUACACGGUGAAAUAUAUUGUGGACAAAAGUGUGUGGCCGCCUUAACUCUUGAGCCUGACGGGGCAACGAUGGAAUAAGGUUUUUAAUGUGCCCUACUGUGGUGAUGGCUAGCCGGAGGAGAACCCAUGGGAUUUUAUAUUGUAUGUGUAACAAGCCCUGCAGGCAUUGACCAAUUCAAACAGUGUGCACAAUAUUAAGGGGCCCAAAAUUUAAAAAGAAGUUGUGUAUGUCCAUUGAUAUUGGGUAAUCAUUAGCAUUGCAUGCAUUACUUUGCUUACUGAGCUUUAGGCUCACAGUUGUCUUGUGUUGCAGGUAGAGAAAGAAAUGUGUGAAUGACAUGAGGAGAACUGAAGCAUGGUCCUGACCCUGAUUUGUACAUAUGAACAUAUCGACCUUUUGUGGGUUAUUUCAGUUAUCAGUGAGAUGUUUGUAAUAAAGUGUGAAGUUAUGUUUUGAAAAUAAAUUGGGUUAUUUAAUACUUA